UGGGGAAUUUUGGACAAUGGGCGAAAGCCUGAUCCAGCAAUGCCGCGUGUGUGAAGAAGGCCUUCGGGUUGUAAAGCACUUUUGUCCGGAAAGAAAUCCUUGGCUCUAAUACAGUCGGGGGAUGACGGUACCGGAAGAAUAAGCACCGGCUAACUACGUGCCAGCAGCCGCGGUAAUACGUAGGGUGCAAGCGUUAAUCGGAAUUACUGGGCGUAAAGCGUGCGCAGGCGGUUUGCUAAGACCGAUGUGAAAUCCCCGGGCUCAACCUGGGAACUGCAUUGGUGACUGGGCAGGCUAGAGUAUGGCAGAGGGGGGUAGAAUUCCACGUGUAGCAGUGAAAUGCGUAGGAGAUGUGGAGGAAUACCGAUGGCGAAGGCAGCCCCCUGGGCCAAUACUGACGCUCAUGCACGAAAGCGUGGGGAGCAAACAGGAUUAGAUACCCUGGUAGUCCACGCCCUAAACGAUGUCAACUAGUUGUUGGGGAUUCAUUCCUUAGUAACGUAGCUAACGCGUGAAGUUGACCGCCUGGGGAGUACGGUCGCAAGAUUAAAACUCAAAGGAAUUGACGGGGUCAUA
rnacentral:rRNA from 1 species